rnacentral:rRNA from 1 species
GACGAACGCUGGCGGCGUGCCUAACACAUGCAAGUCUACGAGAAAAGGGUAGCAAUAUCCUGAGUAAAGUGGCGCACGGGUGAGUAACACGUAGGCAAUCUGCCUUUAGGACGGGAACAACCCCGGGAAACCGGGGCUAAUACCCGAUAAUGCAGCGGCACCGCAUGGUGACAGUUGUUAAAUGCCCGCAAGGGCGCCUAGAGAUGAGCCUGCGUCCCAUUAGGUAGUUGGUGAGGAACGGCCCGACCCAACGCCUACCGAUGGGUAGGCUGAUCUGAGAGGAUGAUCAGCCACACUGGAAC